AAGUAGCGUGAAGGAUGACUGCCUAUGGGUUGUAAACUUCUUUUAUAAAGGAAUAAGUCGGGUAUGCAUACCCGUUUGCAUGUACUUUAUGAAUAAGGAUCGGCUAACUCCGUGCCAGCAGCCGCGGUAAUACGGAGGAUCCGAGCGUUAUCCGGAUUUAUUGGGUUUAAAGGGAGCGUAGAUGGAUGUUUAAGUCAGUUGUGAAAGUUUGCGGCUCAACCGUAAAAUUGCAGUUGAUACUGGAUAUCUUGAGUGCAGUUGAGGCAGGCGGAAUUCGUGGUGUAGCGGUGAAAUGCUUAGAUAUCACGAAGAACUCCGAUUGCGAAGGCAGCCUGCUAAGCUGCAACUGACAUUGAGGCUCGAAAGUGUGGGU
rnacentral:rRNA from 1 species